UUGCUCUUUGCCCCGUAUGGCUUUUUAUUCCUAUCUGAGAAUUGCUCAGGACUCAUAUAGGGAUGGAAGCCAUGCAGGGCUGGGGGACUG
rfam:Danio rerio chromosome 8, GRCz11 reference primary assembly.